rnacentral:misc_RNA from 1 species
UUUCCGUAGGUGAACCUGCGGAAGGAUCAUUAUUGGAUUUUGAAGCUUCAGGCUGCUGCUGGCUCUCCUCGGAGGGCAUGUGCACGCUUGUUGUCCAUUAUUUCUCCCACUGUGCACAAAUUGUAGACCUUUCAGUAGGCCUAUGUUGUUUGUCACAAUCUCUGAAUGUAAUAGAAUGGUUUUGAAUCUUGGGAAAUACAAUACAACUUUCAGCGACGGAUCUCUUGGCUCUC